GGUCCGCAGGUGUUAUGGCGGCAUGCCUCCUCGGUAGGGAGGUGGUCCGGGUUCGAGCCCCGGGCGGACCU
rnacentral:tRNA from 1 species